AUGUGUAUUUACACUCUGUGUAUACUUGCACUGUAUGUAUCAGCUUAUAUUGCGUGUACUUACAUUGUACCACUUAUGAUCGGAGCUGCCCUGCCCUGGUACGUAGUCACAGUUAGGUAGAACAGUUAUAGAAAUUUUACUCUUCCUCAGAAGCCUAGCAGAGGUAUUCCCAUGUCCUACAGCACACAAGGUUAUCUACUGCACUCAUAGGAAUGCUGUCCAACUUUGCCUUUCUCUAACCCAGGUGCCACUGCUAAUAAAGGCCACAGCCUUGGAAUCAGGGUGAAGCUGGAGCCUAAAGCAGCCAGGCACACUCAGGAGAGGCUAACCAAGAAGCUAACAGGCCAUCACGAGGCGUUCCAAGGCAGACUCAUUUCAGGUGCCACAUCACCAAUCAUCCAAACGAUAAGUUGGGGGCCAGGGCUUGGAGAUGGGAUGAUGGGAGAGUAGCAGGUUGGGAGAUCUUGGGGCAGAUGUAAAAAUUAGCAGAGGGAAAAGCAAUCUUCUCCAAGGGCCUCUUAGGACAGCUAAAGGGAGAGGCUCUACUUUUGAUGGCAGCUUUCAGGCAGGAAGUGCAGAACAGUUCUGGUCUAUGUUGUGUUGUCCAGUGUGCUGUGUUACCUAGUGUGUCUUUGAGGUCCCUUCUACCUUCUCUCCUCGAGGCCCUCACCACAAGCAUGAUGUGUCAUGUUUAAUGUCCCCCUGUUUGUCGUGUUCUGUGUCACGGGUGUCUGCACACAUUUGUGCCGGAGCUGUCCUGCCCUGCCGCAUAGCCAGCUGCAAUAGGACAAGUCCUGGGGCCUUGCAGUUUGUGGGGUGUCACUGGACUCUAGAUGAUAUUUCUAGAUAGACACAAGAUGUUUGGAGCUGUGAAGUCAUCCUGCAGCCCUUUUACUUUUGUCCUAACUUUCUGAUGAAGAGGAUAAAAUCCAUGGCAAAAUCCAUCCAUCCACCCAUGCCGGGUGAGGAGGUUCCCCAGAGCAGGUCAGUCACUGUUUGUCUCUGCAGGGGGAGUUUAAAGUGUGACUCUGUUACAGCACUGUUCUUUUUCUUUUUAGGAAGUAAAGCUGGAUAUCAGCAGUCAAGGUGAGAUGGGCAAGCUGGCUAAGAAACACCAGGAGAUUGUUGAACAGCAGUGCCAGCAGGACCUUCCCAGAUGUAGAGGCCACCAUCUUUUGUACAUGACAUGGGCCUGCAUCCUGAGAUGUCUGAGAGAUAAGUAGAGGGCUAAGUCCCACAGAGGGGUGAGAGCGGGGUGCUGGUUUGGGAAUUACUGGGAGGGGUUUCUGAGUCUACUUUGGAGGUGGGGGGUGUUCAUGAAGUGGCCCCUUAGGCCCCAUAAAAGCAAAGUCUCACUUUUGAUGACAGUGCUGAGGUGUGCAGCAGGGCAGAGCAGUCCUGGUGUGUCUUGUGUCACUUGUCUGCUGUGCAUUAUGUGUUGUUUGUGUAUCUCAUGUCUUUUACCUUAGCCUUUGAGGGGUCUGUCAGAAACCCUGGCAUUAUUGUUAGCAUCUGUGAUCUCUGCAUUCCUUGGCCUGGCACCCAGGCCAUAGAUGCGAUUCUGAUACCUGUCUGAGCUCCUGAG